AAAUCCCUCAUUCAGCCACAAAUGUGUCCACCACUCCAUAGUUACAAGGUUGCCAAACCAUUGGUGUGCAAGUUCAUGAGCCACAACAGUUGCCACCCUCUGUUUGUUAGCAGCUGCAGAGUGUUGAUCAUCAUAAAGUAAAGCAGUCUCACGAUAGGUAACUAAACCAUAGUUUUCCAUGGCCCCAGCAGCAAAGUCAGGAAUUGCAAUCAUGUCCAG
rnacentral:misc_RNA from 1 species